CUUACAUGAUGAGAAAAAUUGGUCCGUGUUUCGGAGCAGCUUAAG
rnacentral:snoRNA from 1 species